UACCCCCCUCCCUCUCUCUAGCACGCCCGGUCUUCGGCCGCCUCGCAAACCACACAAGGUUAAGGGCACCAACAGGAGCACUGCGGCUGCGCCGACCAUCCUGCGGGAGAAGUGCAUCCGGGGCCUGCUCCACCCCUUUGUCUGACUAGCCGUGGCGGUGAGUCGUAGCGACUGUACCAGCGCUGCUGACGUCGCGAAGAGCGAUCGGCUGCCUAUGAAGACUUCAGGCUCUUCAGCAGUCAGUGCAAUGUCCCCUCAAUGCUACAGCCACUGAGCUCGUUCUGGACCCAAACCUGCCUGCUUACUUAUUUCUAGAUUGUUUCUCUCAGCUAAAUCAUCCUGAAGGCUUUUGGCAUGGCUUGACCACCUUAUAUUUGAAUAAUUCACAUAAGAGGUUUCCAGGUUGCUGCUUCAGAGAUAAUGCUCCAGAUCCCUGCUACAGUACUGUAAAUACUGAAAUGGUAACUCCAGUACCUACUGAAGAUGUUUUUCUUUAAGAAGCCGUCCCCUGAGAUGUGACCCAGUCUUUUUUUAAAUAGUAAUUGUACAUCUGUAGGAAUAAUUUUAUUAUUAUUAGAGUUUGUAGGAAUUAUUUUAUUAUUUUUAGAGUUUGUAGAAUUUGUUUUAAUUGUUCUUAGAAUUUGUGAAGGGCUGUACUUUAUCUUGUACACUGUUUUGAUUACCUCAAGCUAUAAAGCAGUUAUAAAUAUAUGGGACUACCACUAAGAAGGCCCCUCCUGCCCAUGUACCACACAUUCAUUGAUGUAGAGCUGAACAUUAUUAGAAAAAAGGAUGGGUUUGUAUGCCCUCACAGCUGAAGUCAGUAGCUAUGGAUGUCUCCCAGUGCAACUGGGAAGAGAAAAGCGGUUUGCACUUUCUGUUCCCCACAUAACUCUGUAAUGUCUGUAGCACUGCUGCAUCAAGAACUUGAUCAUUAACUACCAGAGGAAAUAUAAAGCUGAAUUUUAGGCAUUAAUAAAGAUGUGCAGAGAA